UACGGAGGGUGCAAGCGUUAUCCGGAUUCACUGGGUUUAAAGGGUGCGUAGGUGGGCAGGUAAGUCAGUGGUGAAAUCUCCGGGCUUAACCCGGAACUGCCGUUGAUACUAUUUGUCUUGAAUAUAGUGGAGGUGAGCGGAAUAUGUCAUGUAGCGGUGAAAUGCUUAGAUGAUGACAUAGAACACCAAUUGCGAAGGCAGCUUGCUACACUAUUAUUGACACUGAGGCACGAAAGCGUGGGGAUCAAACAGG
rnacentral:rRNA from 1 species